UACGUAGGGUGCGAGCGUUGUCCGGAAUUAUUGGCGUAAAGAGCUUGUAGGCGGUCUGUCGCGUCUGCUGUGAAAAUCCGGGGCUCAACCCGGACUUGCAGUGGGUACGGGCAGACUAGAGUGUGGUAGGGGAGACUGGAAUUCCUGGUGUAGCGGUGAAAUGCGCAGAUAUCAGGAGGAACACCGGUGGCGAAGGCGGGUCUCUGGGCCGUAACUGACGCUGAGGAGCGAAAGCAUGGGGAGCGAAAGG
rnacentral:rRNA from 1 species